GAUGAAGAACGUAGCGAAAUGCGAUAAGUAAUGUGAAUUGCAGAAUUCAGUGAAUCAUCGAAUCUUUGAACGCACAUUGCGCCCCUUGGUAUUCCGAGGGGCAUGCCUGUUCGAGCGUCAUUAUAACCCCUCAAUCUCAGCUUGGUGUUGGGGCCUGCUGCACUGGCAGCCCUUAAAAUCAGUGGCGGCGCCAUCUGGCUCUAAGCGUAGUAAUUCUUCUCGCUAUGGAGUCCUGGUGGAUGCUUGCCAUCAACCCCCAAUUUUUCUAUGGUUGACCUCGGAUCAGGUAGGGAUACCCGCUGAACUUAAGCAUAUCAAUAAGCGGAGGA
rnacentral:misc_RNA from 1 species